UACGUAGGGGGCUAGCGUUGUCCGGAAUCAUUGGGCGUAAAGCGCGUGUAGGCGGUCCGGUAAGUCCGCUGUGAAAGUCGAGGGCUCAACCCUCGAAUGCCGGUGGAUACUGUCGGGCUUGAGUACGGGAGAGGCGAGUGGAAUUCCGGGGUGUAGUGGUGAAAUGCGUAGAGAUCCGGAGGAACACCAGAGGCGAAGGCGGCCGGCUGGACCUGACCUGACGCUGAGGCACGAAGGCGUGGGGAGCGAACGGG
rnacentral:rRNA from 1 species